CAGAGAUCUGAACUGACUUCCCCAGGUUCCCUGGGGUCCACUUUUAAGCUUGUGACUGAGAGCAGUCUGGACCCUGCUCUCUGGACUCACAGCCCGGGCACUGACCUAGAAGCUUCUUAUCCACAUUUAACAGCCUGAGGGAUCAGUUUGGGUUUCUCCAAAUCCAGAAAAAGAGCUCCUGUACACUCCUCCAGGGAAGACAGGAAAAACCACCGAAGUAUUUGGAGGUAAAAAGCUAUCACGGCUGCAGUUUAUUCUCAAACAGUUCAAAAAGAUGGAUAUAUGUGAAAAGAGAAAGAGAGAGAACGGAUGUGAUGAAAUAGGAAGUCUUGGUGACCAACCUGUGUCAACCCCCACAGAGACCUUGAGGGGUAGGGGAUGCACUGUUAUCCCUACUGGACAGAUGUGGGAUGAAGGCUCAGAAAACAUGCUGCCCCUCCUGAGCCUGUCCAAAACAGGGUUAGGACCCCAGGUGGAGGGGCGCCAGGGUCUGCCAGGGGCCACUUACCAGAUCG